CCAGCAGCCGCGGUAAUUCCAGCUCCAAUAGCGUAUAUUAAAGUUGUUGCGGUUAAAAAGCUCGUAGUUGGAUUUCUGCUGAGGAUGACCGGUCCGUCCUCUGGACAGGCAUCUGGCUCAGCCUUGGCAUCUUCCUGAAGAACGUAGCUGCACUUGACUGUGUGGUGCGGUAUUUAGGACAUUUACUUUGAGGAAAUUAGAGUGUUUCAAGCAAGCGCACGCUUUGAAUACAUUAGCAUGGAAUAAUAAGAUAGGACCUCGGUUCUAUUUUGUUGGUUUCUAGAGCUGAGGUAAUGAUUGAUAGGGAUAGUUGGGGGCAUUCGUAUUUAACUGUCAGAGGUGAA
rnacentral:rRNA from 1 species